rnacentral:rRNA from 1 species
ACCAAAUAGAUACCCUGGUAGUCCACGCCCUAAACGAUGCGAACUGGAUGUUGGGUACAUUACGGUACUCAGUGUCGAAAGCUAAACGCGUUAAAGUUCGCCGCCUGGGGAGUACGGUCGCAAGACUGAAACUCAAAGGAAUUGACGGGGGCCCGCACAAGCGGUGGAGUAUGUGGUUUAAUUCGAUGCAACGCGAAGAACCUUACCUGGCCUUGACAUCUGUCGAAUCCUGCAGAGAUGCGGGAGUGCCGCAAGGAACGACAAGACAGGUGCUGCAUGGCUGUCGUCAGCUCGUGUCGUGAGAUGUUGGGUUAAGUCCCGCAACGAGCGCAACCCUUGUCCCUAGUUGCCAGCACGUAAUGGUGGGAACUCUAGGGAGACUGCCGGUGACAAACCGGAGGAAGGUGGGGAUGACGUCAAGUCCUCAUGG